rnacentral:rRNA from 1 species
GACAGAGGUGCCGAGCGUUAGGCGGAAUCACUGGGCUUAAAGCGUGUGUAGGCGGAUUGCUAAGUACCUUGUGAAAUCCCACGGCUUAACCGUGGAACUGCUUGGUAUACUGGCUGUCUUGAGCCACUUAGGGGCAACCGGAACAAACGGUGGAGCGGUGAAAUGCGUAGAUAUCGUUUGGAACGCCAAUGGUGAAAACAGGUUGCUGGGAGUGUGCUGACGCUGAGACACGAAAGCCAGGGGAGCAAACGGG